UGCCUAUCUCGGAGAAUGUUCAAAUGUAAUAUGAAAGCCUUUUCAUUAAUAGAAACCAUAAAUACAGUCCGUGAUUAAACAAAGCAACUUGCAUAAUCGAAGAGAAAGGUGAAAUAUACACAAUUCAAUCUAGGAAAGAUUGAGAUACAGAUACAUGCACUAACGAAAUAAUUAAGGAGACAAACAGCAGAUUUUCUAUUACAACGCCUUAAUUAACAUGCUCAGAAUGACCUAUACCAGGACUAUGACCUGGGGUCGUAGGUCGAAAAGAAUCCACAGACCCUUCAGUGAAUCUAAAUCCAUGUUUCUGUACUCUAGCAUUCAAAACAAUGCUACUAGGGUCCGGUGUUGUUUCUUUUGCAUCCGGAAUAUUAACAAAUUUCGACAAUCUUCCUUUAGUGAGAAAAACUUCAUUUGAUGCGAUAAUAAGUAGAAAAAACAAGCAAGUAAAGAAUUUGGCCAUAUUAUUUUUUAUUUUUAAUGUUCCAGAAGAACAAAAGUUUCUGAUGGAAAACGGAGAAGGAGAGAAUGAAAUUGAAGAAAA
rnacentral:lncRNA from 1 species